CAGCUUGCUGCUUCGCUGACGAGUGGCGGACGGGUGAGUAAUGUCUGGGAAACUGCCUGAUGGAGGGGGAUAACUACUGGAAACGGUAGCUAAUACCGCAUAACGUCGCAAGACCAAAGAGGGGGACCUUCGGGCCUCUUGCCAUCGGAUGUGCCCAGAUGGGAUUAGCUAGUAGGUGGGGUAACGGCUCACCUAGGCGACGAUCCCUAGCUGGUCUGAGAGGAUGACCAGCCACACUGGAACUGAGACACGGUCCAGACUCCUACGGGAGGCAGCAGUGGGGAAUAUUGCACAAUGGGCGCAAGCCUGAUGCAGCCAUGCCGCGUGUAUGAAGAAGGCCUUCGGGUUGUAAAGUACUUUCAGCGGGGAGGAAGGGAGUAAAGUUAAUACCUUUGCUCAUUGACGUUACCCGCAGAAGAAGCACCGGCUAACUCCGUGCCAGCAGCCGCGGUAAUACGGAGGGUGCAAGCGUUAAUCGGAAUUACUGGGCGUAAAGCGCACGCAGGCGGUUUGUUAAGUCAGAUGUGAAAUCCCCGGGCUCAACCUGGGAACUGCAUCUGAUACUGGCAAGCUUGAGUCUCGUAGAGGGGGGUAGAAUUCCAUGGGUA
rnacentral:rRNA from 1 species